rnacentral:misc_RNA from 1 species
AAGGUUAAAAAUGUAAUCUAAUUUUGGGAAAAAAGAAGUUAUAUAUCAGGUCUACUGUGUAAAUAAAAGUCUGGUAGACAUUAUUUGUCUUAUAGCCACAUUUCAUAUGAUCUAGUAGUUAUGAAAAUAACCUUUUUUACUAUAUAUAUAUAUAGUUAUUUUUUACUAUAUGAUUUUCACUUGCAAGAUUUAUAAAUCUUCAAGCUGCAAUUCCAUUUACUGCAGUGGCUCCUGGUUGAUUAAUACCAUUAUUAAUCAUAUGUUCUCCACCACAAGAAUGGUCAAUUUUGCAAAAAUUCUCAAUUUUGGCCAAAAUUGGAGUCAAGUCUCUAGGGUUAACAUUCAUAACUAGACCAUAUUUCAUGAACAAUGUCAAUGACAUUUUUUGCUCCACCUUGUGGCCCGGCGCCACCGCGAGGCGGUGGCGGAGCAACACUGCUGCUGCUAUUGAUUUCAUUUGCAAAUAUGCCAAGUCUUUGCCUAGACAAAUUCUUGGUCCAGCAUUGAAUGCCACGAAUCUGAAUGCAUCUUGAACUUGGUACUUGUUACCGUCUUUUGACAUCCAGCGUUCUGGCUUGAAUUCUAAGCAAUCUUCACCCCAGAUGAAUUUCAUUCGACCGGUUGAGUAUAUGGAAUAUGUGAUAUUUGAACCUGAUGGCACGAAUGUGCCAUCAGGUAAAUAGUCAUCAGAAAUGACAUGUUUUGAGUCCUCUGGCACUGAUGGGUAAAGUCUUAGGGUUUCAGAUAAUGCUGCCUUGAGGUAUGUCAAUUGGUCAACUUCUUCAAACACUAGGGGCUCUUCCAACCACUUUGAUGUGUCGUUGCCACGUGUCUCCACUAGGACCGUGCAGAGCUCGAUGAGUAUUUUCUCCUCCACUCUCGGGUUCAAGCUGACAAGCCAAAAGAACCAGCUCAACGCGACAGAUGAUGUG